GUUUCUGAGGAGAAGCACCACAGCAUAGUGCCGGACCUGCAGAUGGGUCUUCAGAGUGCCAGGGAGAAAGUGGAGAUUCUGCAGGAUGCACUGGACAAGACUGAGUCUGGGCAUGUGAGAGGUGGGGAAGCUUCAACAGAAACUGAACAGAGCUACAAAGAAAUUGUCUUCAACAGAGCAAGAGCAGCACAGCCAGAUUGUUGCCUUGAACACUCAAUUGCUGGAGGAGCAGUCAAAGGCAAACAAGGAGCUUGAGAGAUCCGUUAGAUAUGAGAAAGAGCUGCAAGACACUAUCAAGGAUCUCAGAAAGAAGCUGAGAACACAAAUUGAGGAGAGGGAGUUUGCCCUGAAUAGCCUGAGGAUGCGUCAGAAGGACCUGGCAGAUGUACAGCGCCACCUAAAGGCAGACCUUCUGAGGUGCAGACUGGUCUGUGGCCUGGAGAAGGGACUGCAGUACUUCACCCCCCACAUGGGUGGCCUGAAGGAGGGGUUCUUCAACCUGAGAACCAACCUGCACUCUGUCCUGGAGAAGGAGGCUGGGAGAGAUGACCAGAGGAGGCAAGACUGGAUGCAGGUGUUAGACAAGAGCAAGGAAUAGGAGAAAAAGGCAGAAAAACUGUUGGACAGUUUAGAUUCUCUGCAGAGUCACUAGCUGCUGGAAGAAGAAGGUGAUGAGAGGGACCAAUAUAGAGCAGUAGCAUGGAGAAGUGGAGCAUCACCCUCCCCUCAUUCCCCUUCUGCUGUGACGAUGCCUCAGAGGAACCUCUCUACGAGACCUGCUUCUCCAUAUCCCAAUGGAUAAUCUAAUCAGCAUCUUGGCAUAGAUUUCAUAAUUUAGCCCAGAUCUUUUAUUUUCAUGUAUGUAUUGUU
rnacentral:lncRNA from 8 species